GACGAACGCUGGCGGCGUGCUUAACACAUGCAAGUCGAACGAAGUGGCGAACGGGUGAGUAACGCGUAAUCAACCUGCCCUUCAGAGGGGGAUAACAGUUGGAAACGACUGCUACUACCGCAUACUGAAGGCGGGGAUUGCGGCUGAUUAGCUAGUUGGAGGGGUAACGGCCCACCAAGGCGAUGAUCAGUAGCCGGGCUUAGAGGAUGAACGGCCCAAACGGGACUGGGACACGGCCCAGACUCCUACGGGAGGCAGCAGUGGGGAAUCUUCGGCAAUGGACGAAAGUCUGACGGAGCAACGCCGGGUGAGUGAUGACGGCCUUUGGGGUGUAAAGCUCUGUUAAUCGGGACGCGGUACCGGAAGAGAAAGCCACGGCUAACUACGUGCCAGCAGCCGCGGUAAUAC
rnacentral:rRNA from 1 species